UACAGAGGUCCCAAGCGUUGUUCGGAUUCACUGGGCGUAAAGGGUGCGUAGGUGGUCGGGUAAGUCUGAUGUGAAAUCUCCGAGCUUAACUCGGAAAUGGCAUUGGAUACUAUUCGGCUAGAGGGUUUGAGGGGGGACUGGAAUACUUGGUGUAGCAGUGAAAUGCGUAGAUAUCAAGUGGAACACCAGUGGCGAAGGCGAGUCCCUGGAAAACUCCUGACACUGAGGCACGAAAGCUAGGGGAGCAAACGGG
rnacentral:rRNA from 1 species